UAGAAUUUUUAGUAUUAAGUUGUGGAUACCAAAAAUAGAGGAGAAACUCCUAUAUUUAUAUAUUAUUAAAACGGUUUAAGGAUAAGUUAAACUUCUAAUUUUUUGGGGUUUGAAUCUUCUAUUUUCCGUUCUUUCUGCGAUUCUUCUGUAUCCAAAAAGAAAUCUUAGUUUUUCAAAUUAAGAAAUCAGUUGGGCGAUGUUUCUACUAUGGGUUGAGGUCUAACGACCUCGUUGUUCAGACGAGGUCUAUUGACGAUCUCUUUAUUUUGGCCCAUUAGCAGGUUGCAUUGGGGCAGCCCGGUUUAAUUGAAAUAUCAGUUUAUUCGCAAUUCUUCUUAUUUAAGUCCGUAUUGU
rnacentral:sRNA from 1 species